UUUAAGUUACAGAUGUGAAAGACCCGGGGCGUCAACCUCGGAACUGCAUUUGUAAACUAGGCAGACUAGAGUACUGUAGAGGGGGGGUAGGGAAUUUCUAGGUGUAGCGGUGAAAUAGCGUAGAGAUCUGAAGGAAUACCGGUGGCGAAGGCGGCCCCCUCGGACAGAUACUGACACUCAGAUGCGAAAGCGUGGGGAGCAAACAGGAUUAGAUACCCCUGGUAG
rnacentral:rRNA from 1 species